GGAGAGGUGGCCGAGUGGUUUAAGGCAGCGGUCUUGAAAACCGCCGUGGGUACAAGCCCACCGUGGGUUCGAAUCCCACCCUCUCCG
rnacentral:tRNA from 1 species